rnacentral:rRNA from 1 species
CUCAAAGGAAUUGACGGGGGCCCGCACAAGCGGCGGAGCAUGCGGAUUAAUUCGAUGCAACGCGAAGAACCUUACCAAGGCUUGACAUGAACCGGAAAGACCUGGAAACAGGUGCCCCGCUUGCGGUCGGUUUACAGGUGGUGCAUGGUUGUCGUCAGCUCGUGUCGUGAGAUGUUGGGUUAAGUCCCGCAACGAGCGCAACCCUCGUUCUAUGUUGCCAGCACGUGAUGGUGGGGACUCAUAGGAGACUGCCGGGGUCAACUCGGAGGAAGGUGGGGACGACGUCAAAUCAUCAUGCCCCUUAUGUCUUGGGCUUCACGCAUGCUACAAUGGCCGGUACAAAGGGUUGCGAUACUGUGAGGUGGAGCUAAUCCCAAAAAGCCGGUCUCAGUUCGGAUUGGGGUCUGCAACUCGACCCCAUGAAGUCGGAGUCGCUAGUAAUCGCAGAUCAGCAACGCUGCGGUGAAUACGUUCCCGGGCCUUGUACACACCGCCCGUCAAGUCACGAAAGUUGGUAACACCCGAAGCCGGUGGCCUAACCCCUUGUGGGAGGGAGCUGUCGAAGGUGGGACUGGCGAUUGGGACUAAGUCGUAACAAGGUAGCCGUACCGGAAGGUGCGGC